AUUGAACGCUGGCGGCAGGCCUAACACAUGCAAGUCGAGCGAGCGGCGGACGGGUGAGUAAUGUCUGGGAAACUGCCUGCUGGAGGGGGAUAACUACUGGAAACGGUAGCUAAUACCGCAUACCAUCAGACGUGCACAGGUGGGAUUAGCUAGUAGGGGGGGUAACGGCCCACCUAGGCGACGAUCCCUAGCUGGUCUGAGAGGAUGACCAGCCACACUGUAACUGGGACACGGUCCAGACUCCUACGGGAGGCAGCAGUGGGGAAUAUUGCACAAGGGGCGCAAUCCUGAUGCAGCCCUGCCGCGUGUGUGAAGAAGGCCUUCGGGUUGUAAAGCACUUUCAGCGGGAAAGCGUUACCCGCAGAAGAAGCACCGGCUAACUCCGUGCCAGCAGCCGCGGUAAUUC
rnacentral:rRNA from 1 species